CAGUCGCCGCGGUAAUACGAGGGGGGCAAGCGUUGUUCGGAAUUAUUGGGCGUAAAGGGUGCGUAGGCGGUUUGACAAGUCUUGUGUGAAAUCUCUGGGCUCAACCCAGAGUCUGCACGGGAAACUGUCGGGCUAGAGGAUGGGAGAGGUGAGUGGAAUUUCCGGUGUAGCGGUGAAAUGCGUAGAUAUCGAAAGGAACACCUGUGGCGAAAGCGGCUCACUGGACCAUUUCUGACGCUGAUGCACGAAAGCUAGGGGAGCAAACAGGAUUAGAUACCCCGGUAGUCCCUGUCUCUUAUAC
rnacentral:rRNA from 1 species